UACGGAGGGUGCGAGCGUUGUCCGGAUUUAUUGGGUUUAAAGGGUGCGCAGGUGGCCCGGUCAGUCAGUGGUGAAAUGCGGCCGCUCAACGGUCGAACUGCCAUUGAUACUGCCGGGCUUGAGAGAGGUGGAGGCUGCCGGAACGGACGGUGUAGCGGUGAAAUGCAUAGAUAUCGUCCAGAACGCCGAUUGCGAAGGCAGGUGGCCACGCCUCAUCUGACACUGAGGCACGAAAGCGUGGGGAGCGAACAGG
rnacentral:rRNA from 1 species